rnacentral:rRNA from 1 species
CACGUAGGGCGCAAGCGUUGUCCGGAAUUAUUGGGCGUAAAGAGCUCGUAGGCGGCUCGUCGCGUCGGCUGUGAAAACCUGGGGCUCAACCCCGGGCCUGCAGCCGAUACGGGCGAGCUAGAAUUCGGUAGGGGAGACUGGAAUUCCUGGUGUAGCGGUGAAAUGCGCAGAUAUCAGGAGGAACACCGGUGGCGAAGGCGGGUCUCUGGGCCGAUAUUGACGCUGAGGAGCGAAAGCGUGGGGAGCGAACAGG